rnacentral:lncRNA from 1 species
CUGAUUCUGGUCUCUGGAGGCUGGCUCUCUUUCAAAAAGCCUUUCAACAGUCAGUGUGUGCAGUGAUUAUGGCUGCUCUCUGCACAAUGCUGGAAUGUGUCCAAAGCCCAGUGAUGUCGUGGCCACCACAGUGCAGUUGGUGUGAACUGAAGUUUUUGUCCUUCGUGGGGGCCUGAAAUCUGUGAGAGAAGUCAGUUACAAGAAGAAACUUAAAAGGCAUAACAGCACCAAUCUUGAACUCCAGGUACACUUGAAGGAGGCACCACACUUGGAGGAGAGGACAUGGAGACUGGAGUUGAGAAAAAAAGAAAAGAAAAAGUAGCAGCCAUUCUUGUAAGUUCAGCUACUCCUUCAAUGACAGGCUCAAGUGAUAAACUCAUUCAUGGGCUCUUCCAUACCUUUUUACUGGUGAACCUAAGAUCAAUAACACCAUCCAGGAGCAGCCUUCCUGUAUAGCAUUGCUGUUUGUCAUCUUAUGGAACAGUAUGGUGACAUAGGGGAAAAGAAACUGGACCUGUCACAUGUCAGUGCUGAGUAAGUCCUUUAUGAUUUUAAGAUGAUUUCAGAUGAAGGAUA